UACGUAGGGUGCGAGCGUUGUCCGGAUUUAUUGGGCGUAAAGGGCUCGUAGGCGGCGUGUCGCGUCGGGAGUGAAAGACCGGGGCUUAACCCCGGUUCUGCUUCCGGUACGGGCAUGCUGGAGUGUGGCAGGGGAGACUGGAAUUCCUGGUGUAGCGGUGGAAGUGCGCAGAUAUCAGGAGGAACACCGGUGGCGAAGGCGGGUCUCUGGGCCAUUACUGACGCUGAGGAGCGAAAGCGUGGGGAGCGAACAGG
rnacentral:rRNA from 1 species